rnacentral:rRNA from 1 species
UACGUAGGGGGCAAGCGUUGUCCGGAAUCAUUGGGCGUAAAGAGCGCGUAGGCGGCCCUGUAAGUCCGCUGUGAAAGUCAAGGGCUCAACCCUUGAAUGCCGGUGGAUACUGCAGGGCUAGAGUCCGGAAGAGGCGAGUGGAAUUCCUGGUGUAGCGGUGAAAUGCGUAGAUAUCAGGAGGAACACCAAUGGCGAAGGCAGCUCGCUGGGACGGUACUGACGCUGAGACGCGAAAGCGUGGGGAGCAAACAGG